rnacentral:lncRNA from 1 species
NNNNNNNNNNNNNNNNNNNNNNNNNNNNNNNNNNNNNNNNNNNNNNNNNNUCAUAUCACACACCGCUCUCCAAGCAGCCCUCAAUGUAGCUAACACUGCAGCAAGGUCGACCGCCACAGCAGUGGUCAUGCGACAGGGUUCAUGGCUCUCUUCCUCCUUCUUCCCUCGAGAGGUCCAGAGCACCAUUGAAGAUCUUCCCUUCGAUGGGGAAAAACUUUUUGUCUCCACCACAAACGACAUGCUGCAUUCGAUGAAGGACGCAAGAGCAACCCUCCGGUCCCUAGGCCUCCAGCCACCUGCAACCAGAAGACGACAAUAUAGAUAUCAACCUUAUCACCAACCACGCUACCCCACAUUUUCACAACACUCCUAUAGACCACAGGAACAACAACAGCAACAACGACGCCAAAGACCAAGAUUCCAGCGUCGUCGUCCUAAUUCUACAGGGGCACUGCAACCCCCUCCAACUAAUAGGCAGAUUUGAAGCAUUGGUCGAGGGUUUAGAAAACAGCAUUCCCACUUCAGCCGGCACACCUAUCUUUGGACACUGCCUACGACCAUUCUCUCAUCAAUGGCAGAAAAUUACAUCCGACAAAUGGGUCAUAGAGGUAGUUACAAUUGGAUACGCCAUCCCCUUCCUCUCCCAACCCUCCCACCCACCCACCCUCCCCGUCCCUCUUCAGGGACCCAUCUCACGAGCAACUACUUUUCCAAGAAGUGCAGCAUCUCCUUCAACUGGGAGCAGUAGAAACUGUGCCAGAACGACACAGAGGGAAGGGUUUUUACUCCCAUUAUUUCUUAACAGAGAAGAAAAAUGGGGGAUGGCGACCAAUCCUCGACCUCAGGCGGCUCAACAAAUUUGUCAAAAAGCAAAAGUUCAAGAUGGUCACUCUCACCACUAUAAUCCCAGCACUGGAGCAGGGCGACUGGUUUUCAGCCCUCGACCUAUAGGAUGCCUAUUUUCAUGUGACUAUACACCCAUCCCACAGACGAUUCCUACGCUUUACUCUCUGCUCCACACAUUUCCAAUACAGGGUUGUCCCUUUCGGCCUGUCCACGGC